GUAGCAUAAUCAUUUGUCUUUUAAUUAAGGGCUGGCAUGAAGAGUUGACGACACCCCCUCUUUUUUAACCCUGUGUUGGAAUUUGAUAUUUACAUCAAAAAGUGUAACUUUCUGAGAAGACGAUAAGACCCUAUGAAACUUUUAUUUAUUUUGUAUUUUAAAAUAUUUAGGAGAUUUAAAAUUAUUAAAUUAAGCUGGGGCGGCAGCUAAAAGACAUUAGCAAAGAUAACAAUAACUAUUGAAUAUAAAGAUCUUACUAAGAGUUGAAAUAAGUUACUCUAGGGAUAACAGCACAAUUUUUUUGUAUAGAUCGUAUAGAAUAAAGAGACUUGUGACCUCGAUGUUGAAUUGGGGGGCCCCGCCUAAGCAGAAAUUGGCGCGGGGGGUCUGUUCGACCUUUAAUACCCC
rnacentral:rRNA from 1 species